rnacentral:rRNA from 1 species
GGUUGGACGAGAUAUAAUCUGUUUCAUUUAAAAUUUAGUUAGAAUUUUAUUUUUUAGUUAAAAAGCUAAAAUAUAUUCAAAAGACGAGAAGACCCUAUAAAUCUUGAUUAUUUAGUAAUUUUUAGUUUAUUUUGAUUUUUUUUAUUAUAAAUUUAUUAAUUAAUUUUAUUGGGGUGAUAUUAAAAUUUAAAUAACUUUUAAUAAUUUUUAUCAUUUAUUUAUGAUUAAGUGAUCCAUUAUUAGUGAUUAGAAAAUUAAGUUACUUUAGGGAUAACAGCGUAAUUUUUUUGGAGAGUUCUUAUCGAUAAAAAAGUUUGCGACCUCGAUGUUGGAUUAAGAUUCAUAUUUAAAUGUAGAAGUUUAAAUAUAAAGUCUGUUCGACUUUUUAUUCUUACAUGAUCUGAGUUCAAACCGGUGUAAGCCAGGUUGGUUUCUAUCUUUGAUUUGGUAAAAUAUUUUAGUACGAAAGGAAUUAAUAUUUAUUUUAAAAAAAUUAAUUUA